rnacentral:rRNA from 1 species
GAUGAACGCUGGCGGCGUGCCUAAUACAUGCAAGUCGAGCGAACAGACGGGGAGCUUGCUCCUCUGACGUUAGCGGCGGACGGGUGAGUAACACGUGGAUAACCUACCUAUAAGACUGGGAUAACUUCGGGAAACCGGAGCUAAUACCGGAUAAUAUAUUGAACCGCAUGGUUCAAUAGUGAAAGACGGUUUUGCUGUCACUUAUAGAUGGAUCCGCGCCGCAUUAGCUAGUUGGUAAGGUAACGGCUUACCAAGGCGACGAUGCGUAGCCGACCUGAGAGGGUGAUCGGCCACACUGGAACUGAGACACGGUCCAGACUCCUACGGGAGGCAGCAGUAGGGAAUCUUCCGCAAUGGGCGAAAGCCUGACGGAGCAACGCCGCGUGAGUGAUGAAGGUCUUCGGAUCGUAAAACCCUGUUAUUAGGGAAGAACAAAUGUGUAAGUAACUAUGCACGUCUUGACGGUACCUAAUCAGAAAGCCACGGCUAACUACGUG